CGGGGUGUAGCUCAGCCUGGUCAGAGCGCCCGAUUUGGGUUCGGGAGGUUUUCGCUGGUUCGAAUCCAGUCACCCCGA
rnacentral:tRNA from 1 species